CGCGUAGGCGGGGAGGUAAGUCGGGUGUGAAAUCCCUCGGCCCAACCGAGGAACUGCGCCCGAGACUGCUUCUCUUGAGUCCCGGAGAGGAAGAUGGAAUUCCCGGUGUAGCGGUGAAAUGUGUAGAGAUCGGGAGGAACACCGGUGGCGAAGGCGGUCUUCUGGACGGUGACUGACGCUGAGGCGCGAAAACGUGGGGAGCAAACG
rnacentral:rRNA from 1 species